UACAUGGGGUGCAAACGUUGCUCGGAAUUAUUGGGCGUAAAGCGCACGUAGGCGGUUCGUUAAGUCGGAUGUGAAAGCCCUCGGCUCAACUGAGGAAGUGCACCCGAAACUGGCGAGCUUGAGUACUUAAGAGGAUCGCGGAAUUCCCGGUGUAGAGGUGAAAUUCGUAGAUAUCGGGAGGAACACCAGUGGCGAAGGCGGCGAUCUGGGAAGAUACUGACGCUGAGGUGCGAAAGCGUGGGGAGCAAACAGG
rnacentral:rRNA from 1 species